ensembl:lncRNA
CAGGCAGGAGAACACACAGGGCUUAAAUACACACACCAGUAAUCGGGGGAUGAGAGACAGGAGGGCAACACAGCUGGGAGAAAUCAGAGCUGACGGGACAGGGGAAACGUAAACUGAACACACUCACAUGAGACGGAGACCUUCACAAUAAAACAGGAAACUCACAGACACAGAACCAGACAAGACAAAGAACUAAACAGGCAGAUUCACAAGCAGACAGUGUGACACCAUGGACAGACGGAGGGAACACAGAGAAAUGGGAGCAGGCAGGCAAAGAACAGAAACCUAACAAAUGGCAAUUCACAACAGAAUACAUACAACAAAAGCAUAAGGAAACACAAAACACUGAGUCGGCAGGCUCAGGACCAUGAGACUUAGCAGAAAUUGCUGGGUGGUAUAGGGUACUGAAAAUUAUUAUUAUUUUUUUUUAAAACAUGUUUCUCGCUAUGCCACCAGUAUCAUCCAGGUGAGAGUGACAGCAGCACAGAAAAUGAAUAAUUGUACACUUCCAUUUACUUAUUUAUUUUUAUUUAUUUUUUAGUUAGGGCACCCUUGCAUAUGUGCACUUACAGGUAUAGACACAUUUAUAUUUAACCAUGUUGUUUGUCAUGGACAGUAUGUUCAUGUUCAGACUGGGUGUAGGACAUUCCUCCCAAUCACCCCACUGUUAUUGACCAAGAAAAGUCCCCCAGUAUAAUAAUGGAGCCCCGAAGUGGGGUGACUUUCACCAGCUUACCAAGAACUCCAAGAAUACUGGAUCCCCGCAAUAGCGACCCUGAGCCUGCUCACUAUCACUCACAUCCAGCUUUAAGGACACUAGUACAUAUAACAUGAUUCAAUUCAGCAGGUAGAGUGAGUACAAUUAGUGAGUACAGCAUGUGUUGUACUCAAGUGUUCUUAGUGCAAGUGUUUUGUAUGAGUUACAACCUUCUGUCCAUUGACCUGAUAUGUUUAGGCAUUGUUCUGUAAGUAGUCUCCCAGGAUUAUUGUUUCCUUUGCAUAUGUUUCUUUGUCAUUUGUUACUGGAAGACUGACUGUGAUUCUAUUACCAGCAAAUUACAUAUUAUAGUAUGUGAGCUAACACACUUGGUUAGACCUCGCUCUUGUACAGACUGGCGAGAUUUUCUUUUCCACCCCUUGAAGAGUACCCAGUAUGUAGAGUCUACACUUUUAGUUUACACUUUGGGUGGUUUGUUACUGGGGAUUUAUGCUUUAGCGGGAAAACUAACAUCAUAGCUACUACUAACUGCAAAUCACUCAGAAACCCUACAGUGUAAUCUGAUUACCGGAUAGCAAUUGGCCUGUUCAGUACUGCUGAUUUCUCCUGUGCUUUUUAAACUUUUUUUCACCAAUGUUUUUAAUUUAUUAGUGAGUGAAUAUGAAUUUUCUCAUAAAUAUAAAGAGUACGACUCAUAGUCUCAACUUAACCACAUGGUCUUUCACUUUUAUUAGCCCUGUGUUCCCUCUGUAAUCAAACCAUGUGAUUAUAUUGUUAUAAGUAGAAUUUACUCAAUCGGGUCACUACACAAUGAUUCAGUUUAUUUGCCACAAAAAAUAACAUUCCUGGGUUUCUACCAGUUUAGUCAGUCCUUUACAUUAUAUUUACAUUUUGGUUGGACAUUCUUUGAAACACUAAUCAAAGGCGGCCCAUAUCCACAUAGAAGCUGGAAGAAGAGAAGUUGGAAGGCUUCCUGGCAUAUUCUCAUAGCAGAAAAUUAUCUAUUUAAACAGUCAUUAAAAUGUAUUUCUGUAGUAAUAUAGUAGCUUUACUGAAUCUCACUUUGAAAAAAAAAAAACAAGAACAAGCAUAUGUCAUGCUGCAAUGCAUAUUUCUCAGAAAGGCAACCCUUACAUUUGGCUAAAGAUAAAUGUGAUUAGUUAUCACUAUCACCUCACAGCAUAAAGGUCCCUGCUUUGAAUCUAAUCUUUCACCUUCCCAUGCUUUCCCUGUUUGUGCAUGACUUGUCAACAGGGUUUAUUUUAUUUUAUUUUAUUUAUGAUAAACUCCUAAGCUUUCACGUU